rnacentral:pre_miRNA from 1 species
AUUUGACUUUGAGGUGACUUGAUUAGGCGCUUCUUCUGACAGAAAAAGCAUUGAGUCAGAAAAAGUGCCUAAUCAAAUCACAUCAAAGUCAAAUUAC